rnacentral:misc_RNA from 1 species
UUGGGAGGGGGCUUGCCCCCGAUGGCAGUGGGUCAGUUGAUACAUCCGUGACUGAUCCACCGCUAUCGGGGGCAAGCCCCCUCCCAC